AGUGAACGCUGGCGGUAGGCCUAACACAUGCAAGUCGAACGGCAGCACAGUAAGAGCUUGCUCUUACGGGUGGCGAGUGGCGGACGGGUGAGGAAUACAUCGGAAUCUACUUUUUCGUGGGGGUUAAGGAAGGGAAACUUACGCUAGUACCGCAUACGCCCUACGGGUGAAAGCAGGGGAUCUUUGGACCUUGCGCGAUUGAAUGAGCCGAUGUCGGAUUAGCUAGUUGGCGGGGUAAAGGCCCACCAAGGCGAGGAUCCGUGGCUGGUCUGAGAGGAUGAUCGGCCACAUGAGAACUGAGACACGGUCCAGACUCCUACGGGAGGCAGCAGUGGGGAAUAUUGGACAAUGGGCGCAAGCCUUAUCCAGCCAUACCGCGUGGGUGAAGAAGGCCUUCGGGUUGUAAAGCCCUUUUGUUGGGAAAGAAAAGCAGCAGGUUAAUACCCCGCUGUUCUGACGGUACCCAAAGAAUAAGCACCGGCUAACUUCGUG
rnacentral:rRNA from 1 species